UAAAUAUUUUUGUUAAUUGUCCUCAUAAAUUAACCAAAUUUGAAACCUAAAGACCACUAAUUCUGUAACUGAUUUCUUGCACUGUCUAAAGUUAAAUUUGGAAGCUCUUGACCAAAAGAUUAAAGAGGAGUAUAUUUUUGGCAGUAAUAUAUUGGAUAAACAGUUCCAAUUUGGCAAAAAUAUACUUUAAGCGGAGCAUUAUAAAGACCUCUAGAAAUGAUACUAGACAAAUUAGCUGGGUCUAACAUAAUGCUAAUGAACCCUCAAACAAGUAGAGUUCAGCUUCAACAAGUUCACUCAAAUUGUUGCGCAAGUGUAGAAUGUAAUUGAUGAAGCAAACCAUCUUCAUUGAGAUUUAAUGCCUGGUGCCACUCUUGUGUCUCAUCCAUUGCUGGCAAGGUAGCAGGGGUUCCAGUAGAUGGGGUAUCAUCCAUUGCCCACUUGACUGAUUGUUAUCGAAACACCACUAAUGAGCAUCAUCUAUGAACAUCCAUCGACACUAUAGAACUUGAACCACAGUAUUGGAGCACAAACUUCAACAUUUGUAAAUGAGGAAAAGACCAACAUAUAUUGCCAUGAAGAUGAGAGCCAAUAUAGAUUGUAGCAUCUUGGAAAUCCAAUCUAAAAGUUGAAAAUAAAUUGAUUAUAAUAGCUAGAGCUGUUAAAAACAAAUCACCCAAACAAAUACAAAAAAAUAAUAAUAAUGAAGGAAAUUGAGAACUUACAAGCAGUGAGAGGGGAAGCAUUAAUCAGGUAAUAAUUUCACAUGACUUUCUUUUACUAUCUCUCAAACAUGUCUAAAUCACACUUAAAACGUGACAACUGACAAACAACACAAGUAAGUUUUCUUCCAUCUUUAUCCAUUGUACAUUCAUUAAUCUUAUCUUAUUCAUAUAUUUUAGUAUAUCUUUUCCCAAC
rnacentral:lncRNA from 1 species